CCUCGCCCACCACCUCCCCCUCCCCCUCUGGACCCCUCUUUGAGAGGAAACAAAAGGCUCUCCAGACCUCCUGCCAUCCUGAUCUGGAAGAAGAUGGCAGGAGGAAGAAACGCCAAGGAAAACAUGAAGAUGAUAUAAUAGUUGAAGACCUGGAGGGAGAGCAGGGGCCUUAAAGUUCACCAUCAUCUAGUCAAAGUCAUUCCUGCUAGGAUGAGAGGCAUCCCUGCUAUCUCUUCCAAUAGAAACAAUUAGCCAGAGCCAAAGAAUGGCAGUAGGGAUGAUAAUUUAGGUAAACCGAUUUCCUCUCAUGUGCUCCUUUAUAGUAAAGGUUUGGGGUGAGGAGCCAUGGAAAUCCUUGGAACUUGCGGAAGGGCUGUACCUCGGUGGUAGGCAGACUGAUUGACAUACAGAAAGUGGACUGAUGGAGAUGAGAUGGACCACUUGCCCCUUCUCAUGUGGGCUGCAAGAGGAAGGAUGCUCCCUCCUUUCCAACCAGCAUAGAAACACAGCUCUCCACCUUUCCACUGCCAGCCCCUGAGAGGCUAGUAAGACUUUUUGCAGGCUAGUAAUUUUUGUGGGUUAUUCACAGUGCUGUGUUCAUAUUUGGUUCGAUUGUCAUUUGUGUUGGUGACUGACUUUCCUCAUUGCUGGUUGCU